rnacentral:misc_RNA from 1 species
UGGACUACUGGGGUUUCUAAUCCUGUUCGCUACCCAUGCUUUCGAGCCUCAGCGUCAGUUGCAGACCAGAGAGCCGCCUUCGCCACUGGUGUUCUUCCAUAUAUCUACGCAUUCCACCGCUACACAUGGAGUUCCACUCUCCUCUUCUGCACUCAAGUUCAACAGUUUCUGAUGCAAUUCUCCGGUUGAGCCGAAGGCUUUCACAUCAGACUUAUUGAACCGCCUGCACUCGCUUUACGCCCAAUAAAUCCGGACAACGCUUGCCACCUACGUAUUACCGCGGCUGCUGGCACAA